CUUCCUGUUUGCUAUUACUAGUUCGUCUGUUCUAUCUUCUGUGACAAAACUCUCUUUGUGUUGAGUCAUGACAUAUGAACACUAAAUUUCUGGUUUCUGCAUGGUUAGGUGGUGUUAGCUUACGGAACUCCAGAGAAAUAUAUGUGUAAGUAUUCAGCCAGCCUCAGUAUCCACAAAUCCUGCUUGAUAACGUACUUGGAUAUGGCAAAGGUUUAAAAAAAAAGGUGGAGAAAAUAGUGGCAGUUCCUGCAACACAGAGGUGAGGAGUGCUGUGUGCACCACUGUAGCUAUGGAACCGAUUACCGGUGACCCUGCCAGGGGAUGGAGCAAGAAGAUCACGUCUCAUGGCUUGAGGUGUGAAUCUUGUGACUGUCAUAUUCUAUCCUUGCCGAAGCCCAGGUCCCGAGGGUGCCGUGUCCAGAGUGACUAUGAGACGCAGCUUCCCGCUCCUGAGCUCUUGGUCCAGGCGACCCUUCUGUUGGUCAUUGUUCAUGCACGUCCCUGGGUUCCCUCAUUUGGCAAGAGGCUGAAACCAUCAUGGUCCACUUCCGGAAUGCAUUUUCUGUUUUCUCACCUGCAUGGUGAGUGCCAUCAGACAAGGACUGAGUUUUGUACCUCUCUGCUUCAACAUUGGCUAGAACAGAUUUUACAUACUGAGCCUCCAUUGCUGUUCGUCCAUCAUGUGACUCAUUCUACAGUUUCCCCACAAACUCCAAGUGCCUCCUUACCACAUACAAGGACCUGGUGGUGGUUCUCAAGAAACUGCCAUUCUACUUGGUAAGGGAAGCAGACAGAAAGAGCUGAGAUGAGCUGGUGACACCUGCUCCUGCACCGUGAGAUCCUGUCCUCUUCUAUCCUCUCUGCCCCAGUCUGUUUGAUAUUGAAAUGGAAAGAUGGUGAGAAUAGAAGCUGGUAGACUGGCAGUCAAGACUUGACAUGAAGCAUCUUCAGCAGUCAUUUGAUAAGUGUUUGCCCUGUGAAGUGUUCUAGCAACCUCAGAACUCACGCUGGCAACUUCUAUAAACACCCUCUCUUCUGUUUUCCUUCACUCUGCAACUUCUCAUUCCACCAUUGAUGGAUUAAUUCAGUUUAGUGUUUAUCAGACGGACUCAGUGCCAUUCUUAUAGAGACCAAGUCAAAAAGAACAAACAAUUAUUUAUCAAAUGAAUGCCAUUUAAAAGUAUUGUGCUGGUCAUAGUAUUAAGUAUAAAGAAGAAAUAAGCUGUCACUUUUGCUCAUCCUUCAUUGACUGAUCCAUUAAUUUUGUGUUUGCAUGAAAGUUUUGUGGUAUCUUAUAGCAGGAAGAUAUUUCCAGUGCUAGUUCUAUUAAUU
rnacentral:lncRNA from 1 species